AAUGACUUCUCUCCGCCAGCAUUGCUGACCAUCACUGCCUUGUGCCAUCACAUACCCACGCACGCGCAUCCGCACAUUUCCCCUCCCCCCAUUCCCAUUCGAUUGUGUGGAAGCAGUGCUGCGUCGCUCUCACGUUCUCUUCGGCCUUCUCGCUGUGCUGCCUCUGUGAGCGGAUGCUCACCUGCUGCUCAUCUAGUGCCGGUGCCACACACAAGCACAUUCUUCUCUCGAGUCGUGCACACGUCUCAGGCCAGUAUCUUGCGCUCAAUGGGAUGCACAUCAUCCACAGAAGCGAAAGCCAACGAAGCGCAUUCGUCCUCAGCUCGUCUAUCUCGAAGCCGCGUGACGAGGCCUCCCGAUCGGAUGGGCACGGCGCGCCGUCUGCGUCCGGCCGCGCGUGAAGAAGUCGACUUCAACCCUGAAAACGCCGCCGGUGCAGAGCGCCUCCGCCCGUCCGUCGUCACGGCCCGCAGCAGCAGCGGGGUUGGUGCCGUUACCCUGCAUGGUGUCUGUGGCUACACCCAAAACGGCGUGCCUGCGUACAGCAAUGGCACCUCGAACACAUGGACAAGCACGAAGAACUUCCGCGAAGGUAUCUUUAUGGGGUACCAGUGGCAGUGUGUCGAGUUUGCCAGGCGGUGGCUCUGGGUGACGCACCGACUGUUGCUGCCAGAGCGUAGCUGCGCUUACUGCUUUUCUAGCUGCACGUACGCAUACCGACUCAAGAAGGACCCAUCACCCACCUCGCAGCGCGCACGUGCGGCCAUGCACGGGACUGCGGCAGAGACCGGUGCCGGCUCGCCAUCGUCCUUCAAGGAAGUGAAUGCCGCGACAGAGGUGAAGCUCCUUGGACCGUACACGAACAGAGACGCCUGGGAAAAGGUGCCCGCCAAGUUCGUGAAGCAAGGCUCACUGGUGCCUCCGGUGGCGGACAGCUUGAUUGUCUACCCGAUGAGCUGGGGCAGCCCGUGGGGACACAUCGGUGUCAUCACCGCCGUUGACCUGGAUCGAAACUGUGUCUACGUUGCUGAUCAAAACCGCUACUUUCACGACUGGAACGGCAAGUCGUACAGCGCCGUCUUUCGGCUGGACUGCGACAAGGGUCGAUUCUACAUACGCGACCACGAGAGCGAGUGCAUGGGGUGGCUGACAUUUCCAACCGCGGUGGAGGGGCACGACGUGUGAUGUGCAGGUGACCAGGCGCCACGGAAGACAUGCAAGCGACAGCAAGAAGCGGGGGCUUAAAAGCGAAAUGAAGCGCCCACACACACACACACACACACGCGCACACACCACCCCUCCCUUCCCUCCUCCCAGUGCACACAUAGUGUGCGUCUCGUGGCGUCUGCCCCCCCCCCUCCGCCCCCACUCCCUGCAAGCGCCUUCUUGGUCGCAUCACUGCUUUGGAUUGCUCUUCCGCUGUCUAUGCGCAUGCUUCAGCCCCCCCCCUCCCCUCCCUCACGUCUCGGCCUGUCCACCGGCCAACGCUUUG
rnacentral:misc_RNA from 1 species